CGAUGUCGGCUCAUCACAUCCUGGGGCUGUAGUAGGUCCCAAGGGUUGGGCUGUUCGCCCAUUAAAGUGGUACGCGAGCUGGGUUCAGAACGUCGUGAGACAGUUCGGUCCCUAUCCGUCGCAGGCGGAGGAAAUUUGAGAAGACCUGUCCUUAGUACGAGAGGACCGGGAUGGACGUACCUCUGGUGUACCAGUUGUUCUGCCAAGGGCAUGGCUGGGUAGCUAUGUACGGAAUGGAUAAGCGCUGAAAGCAUCUAAGCGCGAAGCCAACUUCAAGAUAAGAUUUCCCACCGCAAGGGUAAGACCCCAGAAAGACUAUCUGGUUG
rnacentral:rRNA from 1 species